rnacentral:rRNA from 1 species
GACGAACGCUGGCGGCGUGCUUAACACAUGCAAGUCGAACGGAAAGGCCCUGCUUUUGUGGGGUGCUCGAGUGGCGAACGGGUGAGUAACACGUGAGUAACCUGCCCUUGACUUUGGGAUAACUUCAGGAAACUGGGGCUAAUACCGGAUAGGAGCUCCUGCUGCAUGGUGGGGGUUGGAAAGUUUCGGCGGUUGGGGAUGGACUCGCGGCUUAUCAGCUUGUUGGUGGGGUAGUGGCUUACCAAGGCUUUGACGGGUAGCCGGCCUGAGAGGGUGACCGGCCACAGUGGGACUGAGAAGCGGGCCAGACUCCUACGGGAGGCAGCGGUGGGGGAUAUUGCAAAAUGGGCGGAAGCCUGAUGCAGGAACGCCGCGUGCGGGAUGACGGCCUUCGGGUUGUAAAACGCGUUCGCCUGUGACGAAGCGUGCGUGACGGUAAUGGGUAAAGAAGCACCGGCUAACUACGUG